GAUGAACGCUGGCGGCGUGCUUAAUACAUGCAAGUCGAGCGAACGGACGAGAAGCUUGCUUCUCUGAUGUUAGCCGCGGACGGGUGAGUAACACGUGGAUAACCUACCUAUAAGACUGGGAUAACUUCGGGAAACCGGAGCUAAUACCGGAUGAUAUUUUGAACCGCAUGGUUCAAAAGUGAAAGACGGUCUUGCUGUCACUUAUAGAUGGAUCCGCGCUGCAUUAGCUAGUUGGUAAGGUAACGGCUUACCAAGGCAACGAUGCAUAGCCGACCUGAGAGGGUGAUCGGUCACACUGGAACUGAGACACGGUCCAGACUCCUACGGGAGGCAGCAGUAGGGAAUCUUCCGCAAUGGGCGAAAGCCUGACGGAGCAACGCCGCGUGAGUGAUGAAGGUCUUCGGAUCGUAAAACUCUGUUAUUAGGGAAGAACAUAUGUGUAAGUAACUGUGCACAUCUUGACGGUACCUAAUCAGAAAGCCACGGCUAACUACGUG
rnacentral:rRNA from 1 species